UACAGAGGUCUCAAGCGUUGUUCAGAUUCAUUGGGCGUAAAGGGUGCGUAGGUGGCAGGGUAAGUCGGAUGUGAAAUCCCGGGGCUCAACCUCGGAACUGCAUUCGAUACUGCUUUGCUGGAGUACUGGAGAGGAGAUUGGAAUUUACGGUGUAGCAGUGAAAUGCGUAGAUAUCGUAAGGAAGACCAGUGGCGAAGGCGGAUCUCUGGACAGUUACUGACACUGAGGCACGAAGGCCAGGGGAGCAAACGGG
rnacentral:rRNA from 1 species